rnacentral:snRNA from 1 species
AGAUGAGAGUGUAACCUGCUUGCAACAUCUUGUCACCCACUGAUUGUCAGGAUGACUCUGCUGAUUCAGUUGAUGUCUUUUUCCUCCCUCACUAUUCUGUGUAUGUUCCUUCCACAGAUGCAUGCUCAGUAGAUUAAAGGGGAUAGUCAUUUGUCAGGCAAGGGUACUGGAGCCGUCCUGUGCCUCUGCUAGAACCUCCAACCAAGUUCUCCAAAGGUCAGAGACAAGUGUGAUGCCUCAUCCUGCAAUCUCAGAACUGAAGAAACUGCCACAAGUUUGAAGCCAACUUGGU